rnacentral:misc_RNA from 1 species
CACACAGUAGAAAUACUGCUUUGGGGGAGUUUGAAAACCACACAGGCUGUGCAAGCAGCCUGUAUGCGAGUAGACUCCCUGUUUAGACCCUUGUCUUUUGCGCACUCAUGUUUCCUCGGCGGGUCUGCCCGCCGAUUGGACAACUUAUCAACCUUUUUAAUCUUCAAUCAGCGUCUGAAAUUAUCAUAAUAAUUA